rnacentral:rRNA from 1 species
CCUACGGGUGGCAGCAGUGAGGAAUCUUGGUCAAUGGGCGCGAGUCUGAACCAGCCAAGUAGCGUGAAGGAUGACUGCUCUACGGGUUGUAAACUUCUUUUAUAAAGGAAUAAAGUGAGGCACGUGUGCCUUUGUGCAUGUACUUUAUGAAUAAGGAACGGCUAACUCCGUGCCAGCCGCCGCGGUAAUACGGAGGAUCCGAGCGUUUUCCUGAUUUAUUGGGUUUAAAGGGAGCGUAGAUGGGUUGUUAAGUCAGUUGUGAAAGUUUGCGGCUCAACCGUAAAAUUGCAAUUGAUACUGGCAGCCUUGAGUACAGUUGAGGAGGGCGGAAUUCGUGGUGUAGCGGUGAAAUGCUUAGAUAUCACGAAGAACUCCGAUUGCGAAGGCAGCCUACUAAGCUGCAACUGACAUUGAUGCUCGAAAGUGUGGGUAUCAAACAGGAUUAGAUACCCCAGUAGUC